rnacentral:rRNA from 1 species
UACAGAGGUCUCAAGCGUUGUUCGGAUUCAUUGGGCGUAAAGGGUGCGUAGGCGGUGCGGUAAGUCAGGUGUGAAAUCCCGGGGCUCAACUCCAGAACUGCCCUUGAUACUGGCGGUCUCGAGUCCGGGAGAGGUGAGUGGAACUGCGAGUGUAGAGGUGAAAUUCGUAGAUAUUCGCAAGAACACCAGUGGCGAAGGCGGCUCACUGGCCCGGUACUGACGCUGAGGUGCGAAAGCGUGGGGAGCAAACAGG